AAUAAUAAUAAAUAAAAUAAAAAAAUAAAAAAAUUGGGUAACCGAUUACCCAGACCAAAAACUGAUUUUUUGGCCAUUUUGGCACUCUGUAACCGAUUACCCUAAUCAGGGUAACCGAUUACACCUGCGCAGACAGCAGAAAAAGCUUUGCUUUUUACCCAGGGGACCUUUUCUUUCACCCACUUCAACCCUUUUGCUUCCCCUAUAAAUAGAGCAAUAUCCCCACUCAUUUUUCAAGCUUGAAAGCCAC
rnacentral:lncRNA from 1 species